GUCCAAGAUGCAUUAUCUUGCACUUAUCCACAUUAAAUGUCAGUUGCCACAAUUCUGACCAUUUUUCUAGUUUACCUAAAUCAUUUGCCAUUUGGCUUAUCCCUCCUGGAACACUGCAAUAUCACUAAUAAAAAUAUUAAAGAGAAUGGGUCCAAGUACAGAUCCCUGAGGUACCCCACUGGUGACAAGUCCAAGCUUCGAAUAUAUUCCAUUAACUACAACCCUCAGUUGCCUGUCACUAAGCCACUGCCUUACCCAUUCAACAAUAUUGGAAUCCAAACUUAAAGAUUGCAGUUUAUUGAUAAGCCUUCUAUGUGCAACAGUGUCAAAAGCCUUACUGAAAUCUAGGUAAGCAAUGUCUACUGCACCACCCUGAUCUAUAAUUUUAGUUACCC